rnacentral:lncRNA from 1 species
GAACAGUUUCCGGUGAGAGUUAAAGGGGGAAUUACUCACUUGGACAGCAGAGCCUUGAUAAGCCUGCUUGCUGCCUCCAGAAGCCUGGGUGAGCAUCAUGUGCCCCCACCUCAGCCUUCUGCAGAGGGUCUGUGCCCAGAAGUGCCCACCUCCCCUGGAGGACUCCCAAGGAAAGCCUCACUCCUCAGAAUCGGGAACGUGAGUGAUUCCUCUGGAGAUAGCAGGAGGCAGCUGAACAAAAGAAAGCUGAUCAGAAGAGCAGCAUUCAGCUCAGUACCCUCAAGGUCACCGGAGAGACUGGAGGGUCCUAGGAGCUCCUGGAGUCCGGGAGCCAGGGGCCAAGGAUGGGACCCAGGAGGCCCCAGGCCCAUUGCUCAUGCUCAGUCACACUCUCCAUACUCAGGACUGGGGUACUGGCCGCACCCUCUCAGAAGGACCAGAUACGGUAAGUCCUUGCCUUUUUAAGUUUCUAGCUAAAC